CUGCGGCUAAUACCGCAUGAUGCCUGAGGGCCAAAGGCGCGAGUCGCCUGUGGAGGAGCCUGCGUUCGACUAGCUUGUUGGUGGGGUAAAGGCCUACCAAGGCGAUGAUCGAUAGCUGGUCUGAGAGGAUGAUCAGCCACACUGGGACUGAGACACGGCCCAGACUCCUACGGGAGGCAGCAGUGGGGAAUAUUGGACAAUGGGCGCAAGCCUGAUCCAGCAAUGCCGCGUGGGUGAAGAAGGUCUUCGGAUUGUAAAGCCCUUUCGGCGGGGACGAUGAUGACGGUACCCGCAGAAGAAGCCCCGGCUAACUUCGUGCCAGCAGCCGCGGUAAUACGAAGGGGGCGAGCGUUGCUCGGAAUGACUGGGCGUAAAGGGCGCGUAGGCGGCGAUAACAGUCAGGCGUGAAAUUCCCGGGCUCAACCUGGGGACUGCGCUUGAUACGUUAU
rnacentral:rRNA from 1 species